UACAGAGGGUGCGAGCGUUGUCCGGAAUCACUGGGCGUAAAGGGCGCGUAGGUGGCCACCAUAAGGCCGCGGUGAAAGUCUGGGGCUCAACCCCGGAUCGGCCGCGGCGACUGUGGGGCUUGGGUACCGUAGAGGCAGAUGGAAUUCCGGGUGUAGCGGUGGAAUGCGUAGAGAUCCGGAGGAACACCGGUGGCGAAGGCGGGUCUCUGGGCCGAUACUGACGCUGAGGAGCGAAAGCAUGGGUAGCGAACAGG
rnacentral:rRNA from 1 species